rnacentral:lncRNA from 1 species
GGAAAGAAAAUAAAAUAAAAGGUUCAUAUUGUUACAAUUAUAGUGCACCAAAUAUAUAUAUUUUUUUAAAAUGCACAAAUGUUAAAACUUAAAACCAAACUUCCAAAUCUAAUGCUUCCAAGUUCCAACAGUUUGAAAGAGCUGAAAACAGCAACUUAUCUCAUAAGUUGACGGAACAGAGGUCACUCUAUAAACACAGUCAAUCUUACAAUCAUUUAUAGCAAAGAAUGAAUUUUGGCAAGGGGAAAAGGAAAACUAAACACAAAUUAACCAACCCUCAAACUUGGUUUUUAAUUUCCCUUGCACACUUUAGACUUUUACUUUGUUGAAUUGGGCAUUAGGUCAAAAAAAUAUACCCACACCUUGUCCACCAUUAAUGAUUAUUAAGGAUCAAAGAAAGUUUCAAAAUUGAGGUACCUGAUUGAAGAAAGUAAAAGUAAACAGUGCACAUGAAACAUAAAGAAUGACCUUUUGAGGCUCAACCUGUAUGGUGCUCAGGCAUGAUGCACCUUUAGCAAUGCAUGGUAGAACAUGUCAAUGAAUUGAUCAUCUUGGGAUAAGAACAACAACAAAAACAAAAGGCUGUCAAUAACUAGAAAGGAAGCUUC